rnacentral:rRNA from 1 species
CCUACGGGGGGCAGCAGUAGGGAAUCUUCGGCAAUGGGGGCAACCCUGACCGAGCAACGCCGCGUGAGUGAAGAAGGUUUUCGGAUCGUAAAACUCUGUUGUUAGAGAAGAACGUUAAGUAGAGUGGAAAAUUACUUAAGUGACGGUAUCUAACCAGAAAGGGACGGCUAACUACGUGCCAGCAGCCGCGGUAAUACGUAGGUCCCAAGCGUUGUCCGGAUUUAUUGGGCGUAAAGCGAGCGCAGGUGGUUUCUUAAGUC